CGGUGUAGAGACAUUUAAGAAGGAAAAUUGUGAUCUAAUAAUUGUGGAUACCAGUGGGCGCCACAAACAAGAAGCAGCUCUUUUUGAAGAGAUGCGACAAGUUUCUGAAGCAACGGUAUGUUUUGCUCUUCCUAAUAUUUUUUCCUUUCAUUAGAUGCUCAUGUUAUCGUUUUCCCCAGAAACCAGAUCUCGUGAUAUUUGUUAUGGAUAGUAGUAUAGUAUGUUUUACUCUGCUCUAAUUUUUUCCCUUUAAUUAGAUGCUCAUCUUGUCGUUUUCCCAGAAACCGGAUCUCGUGAUAUUUGUUAUGGAUAGUAGCAUCGGAC
rnacentral:lncRNA from 1 species